rnacentral:rRNA from 1 species
GAUUAGCUAGUUGGUGGGGUAAGAGCCUACCAAGGCGACGAUCUGUAGCUGGUCUGAGAGGAUGAUCAGCCACACUUGGACUGAGACACGUGCCAGAACUCCUACGGGAGGCAGCAGUGGGGAAUUUUCCGCAAUGGGCGCAAGCCUGACGGAGCAAGACCGCGUGGGGGAUGACGGCCUAAUGGUUGUAAACCCCUUUUCUCUGGGAAGAAGACUGACCGGUACCAGAGGAAUCAGCCUCGGCUAACUCCGUGCCAGCAGCCGCGGUAAUACGGAGGAGGCAAGCGUUAUCCGGAAUUAUUGGGCGUAAAGCGUCCGUAGGUGGUUAUUCAAGUCUGCUGUCAAAGCGUGGGGCUCAACUCCAUAGAGGCAGUGGAAACUGAGUGACUAGAGUGCGGUAGGGGUCGAGGGAAUUCCCAGUGUAGCGGUGAAAUGCGUAGAUAUUGGGAAAGAACACCAGUGGCGAAAGCCGCCUCGACUGGGCCUGCACUUGACACUGAGGGACGAAAGCUAGGGAAGCGACAGGGAUUAGAUACCCCUGUA